GGAGCCUGAGGAAGAGGGCGGCGACGGUGGUGGUGACUGAGCGGAGUCUGGUGACAGGAUGUUGGGGAACUAUACCGAGGAUAUAUGAGCAAUUUAAUCCAGACCAUAAAAAUAUGACAGUGAGGACUUCUAAUAAUGAAGGAAAGUGAAGAUAUCAAAGAUUAUAAUUCAAAAGCACACAUUUACCUGAUGAAACUGAAGGCUGUUGUAUAUCUCUGUAACGUACACCUAAUAGUUUGAAGUAACAAAAAUAUCAAAUUUUGGCUAUUAUGCUUGCACAUAGUUGUCAGUCUAGUACAGAUAAAUUACAUAAUUAACUUUUUUCUCUAUUAACAAUUUCCUUAAAUAUUUCUGGGAUUAAUAUAUCAUUUCAUGUUACAACUGCAGAAAUAUGAAUUAUCAUAUCAGUCUUUAAAAAUGCCAAAUUCUAUAGGGCCCAGUAGUAUACUUUACAUUUUGUAAUUUUUAAAAUUCAGUGUAUUUACAGGUCUCUAAAUGAAUCACUUUAGAAUGCUUGAUUUCACUCUUGGUAAAUAGAAUGAUUACCUGUAUUUUAUAUAUGCAACUGUUUACAACCAAAAUAAGAUUGAUUUAGAACAAAGUACAUUACCAUAAGUAUGUCUGUUUAAAUUGUCAUGAUACAAUCAAUGAUGAAACCUAUCCCAAAGCUGAUGACCUGAAGAAAAAUACGUACAGAUUCAGCUUCUGAGAUUAAAUAGUCAUGAUAGGAACCCUAUGAAUAAUUUCUGGGAUUCGGGAUCU
rnacentral:sRNA from 1 species